rnacentral:rRNA from 1 species
UACGAAGGGGGCUAGCGUUGCUCGGAAUCACUGGGCGUAAAGCGCACGUAGGCGGAUUGCUAAGUCAGGGGGUGAAAUCCUGGAGCUCAACUCCCAGAACUGCCUUUGAUACUGCGACUCUAGUUCCGGGAGAGGUGAGUGGAACUGCGAGUGUAGAGGUGAAAUUCGUAGAUAUUCGCAAGAACACCCAGUGGCGAAGG